GAAGAGUUCAUUCUCAGAUCUUUACUGUGAUAGCUUGGUGGGGAAUUUGGAAGUAAAACCCAUGGAAGUUGAAGGACUCCCUAUUCUGCAGUCCCCGGGUUUUUCUCACUCUCAUGGUACUCCACACUCAGCUUCUGGUACAAGGAAAUAUCACCUCUAUGAAAAUAAAGUGAAAAGUCAUAAAGCAACAUCUGGAAGAAUGAUAGCAGACCAAAGAUUUAUAACAUCCUAUUGAGAUGCAAGCAUUCCAGUGAAAGUGGAGAAACUAACAGAUACAACAUUGAGUACACAGAAUGAUCUCAAUUUCCUACUCAAUAAUGACAGAAGAAAGAAGACUAAAUUUGUCAGUACAAAAUGUGUGCCCAAAAUAUGUACUGGCCCAACAAUGUGACCUUUUUGCUUGCUGUGGGAAAUAUAUUCUGAUUUUCCAGAUGGAUGCCUUAGAAUUUGUAAACUUGAUGAUAUUAAAAUUUCAGAGUAUUCUACAUUCUCUAUUUACUCAGAUUCUACUCUCCCCAAAUAAAUGUUUGUUUGCAA